GGUGGCCUAGUGGUUAGAGCGUCACCCCUCGGAUGCGGGAGGCCAUGGGUUCGAACCCCUAACAGAGUCA